rnacentral:rRNA from 1 species
AUUGAACGCUGGCGGCAGGCCUAACACAUGCAAGUCGAGCGGAGCGGCGGACGGGUGAGUAAUGUAUGGGGAUCUGCCCGAUAGAGGGGGAUAACUACUGGAAACGGUGGCUAAUACCGCAUACUAUCGGAUGAACCUAGGUCGGAUUAGCUAGUUGGUGGGGUAAAGGCCUACCAAGGCGACGAUCCGUAACUGGUCUGAGAGGAUGAUCAGUCACACUGGAACUGAGAGACGGUCCAGACUCCUACGGGAGGAAGCAGUGGGGAAUAUUGGACAAGGGGCGAAAGCCUGAUCCAGCCAUGCCGCGUGUGUGAAGAAGGUCUUCGGAUUGUAAAGCACUUUAAGUUGGGAGGCGUUACCCGCAGAAGAAGCACCGGCUAACUCCGUGCCAGCAGCCGCGGUAAUUC